rnacentral:rRNA from 1 species
CGGGGUGCACCAGGCGCGAAACCUCUGCAAUAGGCGAAAGCUUGACAGGGUUACUCUGAGUGAUUUCCGUUAAGGAAAUCUUUUGGCACCUCUAAAAAUGGUGCAGAAUAAGGGGUGGGCAAGUCUGGUGUCAGCCGCCGCGGUAAUACCAGCACCCCGAGUGGUCGGGACGUUUAUUGGGCCUAAAGCAUCCGUAGCCGGUUCUACAAGUCUUCCGUUAAAUCCAACUGCUUAACAGGUGGGCUGCGGAAGAUACUAUAGAUCUAGGAGGCGGGAGAGGCAAGCGGUACUCGAUGGGUAGGGGUAAAAUCCGUUGAUCCAUUGAAGACCACCAGUGGCGAAGGCGGCUUGCCAGAACGCGCUCGACGGUGAGGGAUGAAAGCUGGGGGAGCAAACCGGAUUAGAUACCCGGGUAGUCCCAGCUGUAAACGAUGCAGACUCGGUGAUGAGUUGGCUAUAUGCCAUCUCAGUGCCGCAGGGAAGCCGUUAAGUUUGCCGCCUGGGGAGUACGGUCGCAAGACUGAAACUUAAAGGAAUU